rnacentral:rRNA from 1 species
GAUGAACGCUGGCGGCGUGCCUAAUACAUGCAAGUCGAGCGAAGCGGGGACGGGUGAGUAACACGUGGAUAACCUCCUAUAAGAAGGGGAUAACCUCGGGAAACCGGACCUAAACCGGACAAUUAUAGUAGGAUCAGCGGGGGAUUAGCUAGUUGGUAAGGUAACGGCUUACCAAGUCAACGAUGCAUAGCCGACCUGAGAGGGUGACCGGCCACACUGGAACUGAGACACGGUCCAGACUCCUACGGGAGGCAGCAGUAGGGAAUCUUCCGCAAUGGGCGAAAGCCUGACGAAGCAACGCCGCGUGAGUGAUGAAGGUCUUCGGAUCGUAAAGCUCUGUUAUUAGGGAAGCGGUACCUAAUGAGAAAGCCCCGGCUAACUACGUGCCAGCCGCCGCGGUAAUUC